GUGGAGGCAAAUGAAGUGGUAGAUAAACUAGCUAAGGAAACUCUUAAACACUCAGAAAUAGAUAUUCAAGUGUCUCUAAGCAAAAAUGAAGUUAAAGGGAAAAUUAAAGAAUUCAUAAAUAACAAAUGGCAAGAGGCAUGGAAUGGUGAUAGCAAGGGGAGGUUUAUGUAUAACAUUCAACAGCAAGUAGGAAAUGGAAGAUAUUUUGUCAGGAACAGAAAAGAAGAUACAAUUAUUACACGUAUAUGAAUAGUUCAUACUGGAUUAAAUCAUUCUCUGUUUAAAAUAGGAAAACAUGAAUCGGGCCAAUGUGUUUAUUGUAAUCAGCCAGAAACCAUAGAACAUGUUUUAAUAAAAUGUAAAAAAGAAAAUAUGAAAGCAAAAGGUUAAAACUAAUUAAUGAAGUGAAAAAUGUAGGUGUUGAAUCAUUCAAUGUGAUAGGCCUGUUGUAGGAACAAGCAAAGCAAAGUAACAUCUAUGGUUCUAUAAUACAAUUCAUUAAAGAAAUUGGAAUAUUUGACAGAAUUUCAUUUCUCUUUUUAUUUUGCUGCAUGUCAUAUGCCAACUAGUGCUUCACACACCAGACCAGAUGGUGGCGGUAAAUGCCAUCCGCCAUAAAAAGUCAUAAGAAGAAGAAGAAAACUUGUUCAAGACUAAAGUUUUGAUUAUCAAGAGGCUGAGACCAGAUCCACUGCUGAUGUGGCAGACACCUUCAAUGUGUCUCAGCGUCAAGUACAGAGGAUAAAAAAAAAAGAUUUGAAGAGAAUGGAGACGUUUUGGACAAGCCCAGGUCAGGCAGACCCCGCAAGACAACUGCUCGAGAGGACCGUUUGUUGGCUCAAAAAUCCAAGGCCAGCCCAUUUUCCACUGCAGAAGAGCACGAGACCUGGUUACCUGAAGUCCCUGUGUCAACCAGAACAGUUUGUCGGAUUCUGUCUCGAAAUAGCCUCCAGGGUCGAAUCAGUGCCCAAAAGCCAGCACUAAACAAAAGACAAUUGAAAAACUGUGUGGCAUUUGCCAAGGCCAAUAGCCUGCUAAAAGGAUGGCAGAAGGUGGAUUUUUCAGAUGAAUCUUCUGUUGAAUUACACCACAGUCGCAAAUAUUGCAGGAGACCUACUGGAGCCCGCAUGGAUCCGAGAUUCACCCAGAAAACAGUGAAGUUUGGUGGCGGAAAAAUGAUCUGGGGUUACAUCCAGUAUGGGGUGUGCGAGAGAUCUGCAGGGUGGAAGGCAACAUCAAUAGUCUAAAAUACCAACAAAUCUUUGCUACCUCUUAUAUUCCCAACCAUAAAAGAGGCCAAAUUCUGCAGCAGAAUGGUGCUCCGUCGCAUACUUCCAUCUCCACAUCAAAGUUCCUCAAAGCGAAGAAGAUCAAGAUGCUCCAGGAUUGGCCAGCCCAGUCACCAGACAUGAACAUCAUUGAGCAUAUGUGGGGUAGGAUGAAAGAGGAAGCAUGGAAGACGAAACCAAAAAAUAUUGAUGAACUCUGGGAGGCAACUUCAAACCGCAUGGAUGCAGUCCUUCAAGCUCAUGGAAGUCAUACAAGAUAUUAAAUUUGGAUCUCACGGCACCACUACUUAAUUUGCUGACAUAUUUUUGUAUUUGCAGUAAAUUUGUUCAAUUUCUGUAUAGGCGACAAAACUUUUGUUUUGCCAAAAUUUGACCUUUCUGCCUUGAUUAAAUGAUAAAUCUUU